AGCGGCAAAUACAAGCGUAAAUGGCUGUAGCGAAGGAACCGGUAACGUUUUUCACAGUGACAUCGUACUUUGCCGACUUCCCAAAGUCAGUGAAAAGGGUCUGAACUCCUACAACUAAAAUCGAGUUGUAAAUGUUAGUGUGCUGGCAGGUGGAAGUCUGAAAGGGAAAGUACAGGUUUCAAUGAAAAAAGAAUUUGCGAGGUUGAAGAUGGCGUAUCGUAAGAAGAGACUCACAGCAAGCAACUUUGGUUUUGUGUUGGCAGCAAUGAAGAGGAACUCUUACCCUCCUUCAUUUUUCAAAAUGCUGCUUGGUCAAUACAAUUUCAAACAAGGAGCUCAUGCUUGUGAUUGGGGAAUCGUUCAUGAGCAAAAGGCGCACUGGUGAACGGAGUAUUCCUAUCUGACAGCGGCCUGCUUGGUGGCUCCCCAGAUGGGAUGGUGUCAGAUGAUGACAUCAUUGAGGUAAAAUGUCCCUAUGCAGCCAGAAAGAAGACAAUAAUUCAGGUAGCAGAGGCAAAGGACUUUUUUCUCAAACUGGAUGAUGUCACUGGCUUACUGGAACUGAAACAGACCCACAACUACUGGCAUCAGAUUCAGGGCUACUUGUGCCUGACAGGAGCUGGCACAUGUCAUCUGGUGGUAUAGACUCCCCUAGCUCUUGUAAUCCUGCGCAUCCAUAAAGAUCAAGCUUGGGCAAACAACAUUACUGUUCUAGAAAGCUUUUAUAAGGAUCGUCUCCUGCCCCACAUUUUAUCAGAUGUUAAAUGAAAAUUGUAUUGACCCUGCAUUCUUUACCCGUUCUACAGAAGGAUUUUCAUUGUGAAUGUUGAAGCCUCCCCAACUUUUACUUGUUUAUAAGAUGUAUCAACAUCUGUGCAUUUGUACCAUUUAAACUGCUAUUUUAUGUGUUAUGUUUUAUUUUUUAAAAAAAAAUAAGCAGUAACAAGAAGCAACAAAUGUAGUCCAGAUAAAUUGAGUGGGAGCAACAUAGCCAGUGUGAAGACGUGUUUUUGUUUGCUAGUUCGGCAUCCCUUGCACCCAAGUUGUCAAAUGAAUAUCCUUUUACUUCUCCCAAUUAUUCAUUUAGUUGAUGGUGGAUUAAAAUUUUUUUGAUAAUAUAAUGUUGUAACAGACAAACACAGACUUUAAAGAGAAUCUCACAUUUAUUCGGAAACAUUUCAGUUUGGGAAAAUUGAUUAGCAAGGAAAAAAACAGGUAUGUUAAUGCAUUUAAUAUAGACAAAAUAACAGCUGUAGGCAAUGAGUUGUGUUAAGUGACUGAAGCUGGUGAGUGAAGUGACUGACCAGAAUGUUUUUUUGUAUAGCCAAAUGAUGCCAUUGUGGCAG